GUUCCCGUAGCUCAGUGGAUAGAGCACCGGUCUCCGGAACCGGGCGCGCAGGUUCGAUUCCUGUCGGGAACGCCA
rnacentral:tRNA from 1 species